UUGUAGCCCUCGCUAUGGUAUAAACUUAGUGGCAGACGGGUGAGUAAUGUAUAGGAAUCUACCUAGUAGUACGGAAUAAUUGUUGGAAACGACAACUAAUACCGUAUACGCCCUACGGGGGAAAAAUUUAUUGCUAUUAGAUGAGCCUAUAUUAGAUUAGCUAGUUGGUGGGGUAAUAGCCUACCAAGGUAAUGAUCUAUAGCUGAUCUGAGAGGAUGAUCAGCCACACUGGAACUGAGAUACGGUCCAGACUCCUACGGGAGGCAGCAGUGGGGAAUAUUGGACAAUGGGCGAAAGCCUGAUCCAGCCAUGCCGCAUGAGUGAAGAAGGCCUUUGGGUUGUAAAGCUCUUUUAGUGAGGAAGAUAAUGACGGUACUCACAGAAGAAGUCCUGGCUAACUCCGUGCCAGCAGCCGCGGUAAUACGGAGAGGGCUAGCGUUAUUCGGAAUUAUUGGGCGUAAAGGGCGCGUAGGCUGGUUAAUAAGUUAAAAGUGAAAUCCCGAGGCUUAACCUUGGAAUUGCUUUUAAAACUAUUAAUCUAGAGAUUGAAAGAGGAUAGGGGAAUUCCUGAUGUAGAGGUAAAAUUCGUAAAUAUUAGGAGGAACACCAGUGGCGAAGGCGUCUAUCUGGUUCAAAUCUGACGCUGAAGCGCGAAGGCGUGGGGAGCAAACAGGAUUAGAUACCCUGGUAGUCCACGCUGUAAACGAUGAAUGUUAAAUAUGGGGAGUUUACUUUCUGUAUUACAGCUAACGCGUUAAACAUUCCGCCUGGGGACUACGGUCGCAAGAUUAAAACUCAAAGGAAUUGACGGGGACCCGCACAAGCGGUGGAGCAUGUGGUUUAAUUCGAUGCAACGC
rnacentral:rRNA from 1 species